rnacentral:rRNA from 1 species
AUUGAACGCUGGCGGAAUGCUUUACACAUGCAAGUCGAACGGCAGCACGGACUUCGGUCUGGUGGCGAGUGGCGAACGGGUGAGUAAUACAUCGGAACGUGCCCAAUCGUGGGGGAUAACGUAGCGAAAGCUACGCUAAUACCGCAAACGAUCUAAGUAUGAAAGCGGGGGAUCGCAAGACCUCGCGCGAUUGGAGCGGCCGAUGUGUAUUUAGGUAGUUGGUAGGGUAAAGGCCUACCAAGCCGACGAUCUGUAGCUGGUCUGAGGGGAUGAACGGCCACACGGGGACUGAGACACGGCCCAGACUCCUACGGGAGGCAGCAGUGGGGAAUUUUGGACAAUGGACGCAAGUCUGAUCCAGCCAUUCCGCGUGCAGUAUGAAGGCCCUCGGGUUGUAAACUGCUUUUGUACAGAACGAAAAGGCUCUGGUUAAUACCUAGGGCUCAUGACGGUACUGUAAGAAUAAGCACCGGCUAACUACGUGCCAGCCGCCGCCGUAA